GUUAUUAUCCGCCCCUCAAGAUUUUUUGUGGGGCGGUUGAUUAUCUACUGCCUUUUUGGAGAAAAGUGAAUGGCUCGUAUUGCCGGUGUAAACAUUCCGGAU
rfam:Acinetobacter sp. ANC 3832 Contig2, whole genome shotgun sequence.